UGGCUCAGACGGUAAAGUGUCUGUCUACAAUGCAGAAGACCCGGGUUCGAUCCCUGG
rnacentral:tRNA from 1 species